rnacentral:lncRNA from 1 species
GAAGUUUGUGAUCCUUCUCUCAUUUACUUGACAGUAAGUCUAAUUGAACUCUUGCAAUGGGAAGAUCUGGAGCCGGGAGCUCGCCCCGAAGCCGCCCUGCGAGGAAGGUGAGGGCCGCCGGCUCGGGGAGCCCCCUUUCCCCCUCCACUCCCACCCCGCGGGAGCCUUUUUUCCUCCUGGACACGCGUCAGGCAGGGCACGUGUGAAGGCGCUCCGCCUGCCCCUGGAAGGGCUGCGCUCUUCGCCCGGGGCUGAGCGACUGCAUCUUCUCCCCUCCCCGCAGGCACCUUCCGCGAAGCCCCCUGGCAGAACUGCGUCCCGUGCGAUCUGUGCGAUGGUAAGAGGGCGAGGGGGCGCCGGGGCCGCUUUCGUGCCGGCUGCGCGGGGAGAUGGGGCGCACGGGCGCCCCGGGAUUGCCCAGCCCUUGAGCCUCCCCACCGGCCUCCUGGGGGCGAGCUCUCCGGCUUGGACGGAGGUCCCCUGGGGGGGCAAUCUAAAGUCUGGAGGGGGGGGAGCCUGCCGCUUCCUCCUCCUCUCCCUCCUCUCCCUCCUCAGGCGACCACCGGGAGUACGAGCGGCGGUGCAACGGGACGGUCAACGCGCUCUGCCGGUGCCGUCCGGGCUUCCUCUGUGGCGGGAAUGCGUGCGAGCGGUGCCUCUGCUCCGCGGGACAGGAGCCCACGGCGGAAGGAUGCCGGAGUUGCCCUAAGGGGACCUUUAGCAACCAGAGUCACGCUCCGUGCCGCCCCUGGACACGGUAAGCGUGGUUUCCCCCACCCUUUCUCACGAUCAGAGGUUUUUGGUCUGGCCCACGGGACGAUCCCUGCUGUUGUUGAACGCACCUUCCCCGGCAGAUGCCCGGAGGGCCACAUCCUGACUCCAGGGACAGAGAAGACGGACGUGGUUUGCCGGCCGGGUCUGGAGGAACCUGGGACCACCGCGCCACCGGGGGUCCUCUCCACGCAGAUGCGUUCCGAGGAGACGGACAGCCGGCUCCUGGCGGUCAUUCUGGCCCUGCUGGGCGUCUUACUGCUCUGCUUGGUGUUCCUGCUGCUGUCCUGCGUUUUCUUCCGAUCUUGGGCCCGAGAGAAGUUCCGGAAAGGACCCCCGAAACAGCUGGCCCAGGAGGUGGAUGACUGUGUCUACCGCUACCCCGAGGAAGAAGAGGGGGAAGGCUCCGGCACCCCUUGCCUGAAGGGAGAGCUCCUUCUUGAGAAAGGGCCUUAGCUCCCUUGCCUGUUCAGAGGAGGAAGGAAAAGGGCAGGGCAGGUGGCCAGCCUGGGGCACAAAUCCCUCUGACUUGCAUUUCCUCUGAUUUCAACCCCCCAAAACUCUCCCCAUGUCCCUUGAGAGGGUUCAGCAACUGCAGACAGGUUGUAGUUCUCUAUGGGGAGAGAGGCUUUAUGCUAAAUGGGGGGGGGGUUCUGGCCCCAACCUGACCUGUCCCCUUCCCACUUUAUAAGUAGCUUUUUCCUCUUCUUAGAAUCCUAGAAUCAGAGAGUCAGAAGGGGCCUCUAAGGCCAUCAACUCCAACCCCCUGCUCGAUACAGGAAUCCCAAUCAAAGCAGAUCUGGCACUUGUUGUUUAGUCAUUUAGUUGUGUCCGACUCUUCGUGACCCCAUGGACCAGAGCACAGCAGGUCCUCCUGUCUUCC